ensembl:lncRNA
GGAUUGUUGAAGAUGGCCUCAGGAACCAGCACAGGGCCUGGUGUGUUGUACAUGGCCACAGCUAGCAGCACAGGGCCUGGUUUGGUGAAGAUGGCCUCGGCCAGAAGCGCAGGGCCUGGUGUGAUGUGAGUGGCCUGAGCAAGAGCCACAGGCCCUGGUGUGGUGUAAGUGGCCUCAGCCAGCAGCCACAGGCCCUGGUGUGGUGUAAGUGGCCUCAGCCAGUGCCACAGGCCCUGGUGUGGUGUAAGUGGCCUGAGCAAGAGCCACAGGCCCUGGUGUGGUGUAAGUGGCCUCAGCCAGCAGCCACAGGCCCUGGUGUGGUGUACGUGGCCUCAGCCAAAUCCACAGGCCCUGGUGUGGUGUAAGUGGCC